ensembl:lncRNA
GCUAUGGGUUAGUAGUAUAAUGCUAUGGAUUAGUAGUAUAAGGCUAUGGGUUAGUAGUAUAAGGCUAUGGGUUAGUAGUAUAAUGCUAUGGGUUAGUAAUACAAGGCUAUGGGUUAGUAAUAUAAGGCUGUGGGUUAGUAAUACAAGGCUAUGGGUUAGUAAUACAAGGCUAUGGGUUAGUAAUAUAAGGCUAUGGGUUAGUAAUAUAAGGCUAUGGGUUAGUAAUAUAAGGCUAUGGGUUAGUAAUAUAAGGCUAUGGGUUAGUAAUAUAAGGCUAUGGGUUAGUAGUAUAAUGCUAUGGAUUAGUAGUAUAAGGCUAUGGGUUAGUAGUAUAAGGCUAUGGGUUAGUAGUAUAAGGCUAUGGGUUAGUAAUACAAGGCUAUGGGUUAGUAGUAUAAUGCUAUGGAUUAGUAGUAUAAGGCUAUGGGUUAGUAGUAUAAGGCUAUGGGUUAGUAGUACAAGGCUAUGGGUUAGUAAUACAAGGCUAUGGGUUAGUAAUAUAAGGCUGUGGGUUAGUAAUACAAGGCUAUGGGUUAGUAAUAUAAGGCUAUGGGUUAGUAGUAUAAUGCUAUGGGUUAGUAGUACAAGGCCAUGGGUUAGUAAUACAAGGCUAUGGGUUAGUAAUAUAAGGCUAUGGGUUAGUAGUAUAAGGCUAUGGGUUAGUAAUAUAAGGCUAUGGGUUAGUAGUAUAAGGCUAUGGGUUAGUAAUAUAAGGCUAUGGGUUAGUAGUAUAAGGCUAUGGGUUAGUAAUAUCAGGCUAUGGGUUAGUAAUAUAAGGCUAUGGGUUAGUAAUAUAAGGCUAUGGGUUAGUAGUAUAAUGCUAUGGAUUAGUAGUAUAAGGCUAUGGG